CUAAAAAGGAAAUAACCUACAGGAAUUAUAGGUUCCUUGGGUCUGAGAUGUGACUGGACAAGGUUGUUGCUUGCAUGAGGUUAGUAGGAAUAUAUGUCCUUUCUCUAGGAGGUUUUUGCAAGCAUAAAGUUUAGAAGUUGCUGAAGGACUGUUAGAGUUGACAGCUGAAAUUUAUUGAGAGGAUAAGUGAGUUUGAGGCAGAUUCUGAUUAAGGCUCCAAAUGCUGUGAAGUCAUCAAGAGGAAUUUAUUGCACAUGGGUAAAAAAAAUAAUUGAGCUUUCUCACAGAUGAGCAGAACAUGGAGAAGCAGAAAGUACUGGUCUUCUCUCCCCCUAGAAAAGCAUUGCAGUAAUCAAGGGGGUUGCUUUGGCAGGAAAGAGUAAAGAGAUUCACAAGUGGAGAAACAAUUCCCUGUUUUAGCAUCAAAGUCUUCCAGUGAGCCCUGUAGGAGAGGAAAGUCUGCCUUGAGAGGAAGCAAAUUAAACAUUUGUCAACUGUGAAAAAUACAGGAAAAACUACUGAGCUCUGCAACAGGACUGUCAUCUCCACAGAGACAAGAAACCCCUGUACUGGGAGCUAAAGGGCUGUUCAAACAUCUCCAUUUCUCCAACUGUACUCAAGUGGACAGCAAUAACUUUGCUAUUGAUAAAUGCCUGCAAGUAUCAGUAUGUCUUAUCCAUCUGUAGAAAAUCCUCAGAGGACCAGAGACUAUGAUGUCCUUUAUUUGCAGGUGGCAUGUUUGGAUCGAAAAUGUAAGUGCUCUGCCUCAGACUCCGGGGGGCAGGGGAAGAUGCACUGGGACUGGGAGAGAACUAAUACAGUAGAGAUGCCCUUUCACUAAUUUUCAUCAUGACGUCAAGCUGUCACUGAAAAGGUAACUAAGCAGCCAGAUAGUGAGCAGAGGGCCUGGCUGCCCUUGGCAACUUCAAUUACAGAGAGGGAAAGGUAGCAAAAAGGAAAAGCUGCAGCAAAAACAAGCAAACAAAAUGACUCCUACACUUCCCUAAGAGGAGGAGGAAAUUCUUCAUUCGAAUUAACUAACUUUAGGAGGAAGAAACCCCACAUCAACAGAUGCCACCAGGUGUCACAGCCAAUGAGGAGAGAAGCUGUGCUCUGACCGUUGAAUGUAUCUGUCCCACUGCAGCUGAGACUUCAAAAGGUGAUGUAUGUCAGACCUCACAUGUCUUGUGAUGUUUAAUGAUUUACAAAAUUUACUGAUAAAACUUCC